CCUACGGGAGGCAGCAGUGAGGAAUAUUGCGCAAUGGGGGCAACCCUGACGCAGCAACGCCGCGUGAGUGAGGAAGGUUUUCGGAUCGUAAAGCUCUGUCGGGUGGGAAGAAACGUAUGGAGGUUAAUAGCCUUUAUACUUGACGGUACCACCAAAGGAAGCACCGGCUAACUCCGUGCCAGCAGCCGCGGUAAU
rnacentral:rRNA from 1 species